UUAGAUUCGAAGCUGAUUUUCUCACAUGCAGUCUCUAAGAACUUCCUUGUGGUAUGAAAUAUUUUAUGUGCCUGGCCCUUUAAAUGAACCUAUGCUCUUCGGUGUCAGUUGGCUCUUGGACUUCUGGGAACAGGAGGUGGUAUAGAAAGCCAGCAGAGGAGCGAGUAGUAGGACUGGGGAGUAGGGUCCAGGAGACAGUUGAUACAGGAAGAAAGAUUUGGGUGGGGCUAGAGAAGAGAAAGAUUGAGCAGUGUGAAAAUGAGAGACAGUUGAAAAUGAAUUGGGCCAGCAGACUGAGAAGACUGACAGUGACAGUGGAGCCAGGAGAGGCUGAGCUGAGCCAGAGAAGACAGUGUUAGGAGAGAGAUCAAUGAAGAACCCACAAAGUAGCCAAAAGGAAGAAAGAGAAACCAUGAGACUACACACACACAAAGCUUCACUUCCUACAUUUAAUAAUGAUGUGCACAUAAUAAUGUGUACUUUCCGCCUUCUCUUCCUUAAUCUUCACAGCUUCCUGCUAACCCAAGAGCUGUGUCAAGAAAGAGGAAGCUCAGCCCAUUGGUAUACAACCAAGUGGCCCUGGUCAGCGGCCAUAGUACUCACAGGACGGACUCAGAUAGGAUACACACCCAGGAAACUCUCGUGUAACUGUUGACACCUAGCACCUCCUGACGGCCUAAUCAGGAGCUCUGAUUCCUAUAAUUCCCAGUGCUCUUGGCCACUCAGUCACCUGAGGCAGUUCCUCAUCCUUGCUUGGGUCACCUCAGAACGUUGUAUUAAGUCUUGGCACCAAUGAUCCAACAAGACCGCUCUACCUCUUUGAUAAUCAUCUACCAGCUGUUUGGAACAGGUCCGUGGGCAAAUGGCUGCCAGGACCAAGUUCCCAUCAGGAGAGACCAUCCAGAUGUUAGCUGAUGUUGUACAGGGAUGAAACGAGAAGCCAUACAGUACCAAGCUCCAUUCCUAACUUUUGUUUGGGGGAUUGUGUUUGCUUUCUUUUUUGAAAUAAAGGCUCGUGUAGCCCA